rnacentral:rRNA from 1 species
AUUGAACGCUGGCGGCAGGCCUAACACAUGCGAGUCGAGCGGAUGAAGGGAGCUUGCUCCUGGAUUCAGCGGCGGACGGGUGAGUAAUGCCUAGGAAUCUGCCUGGUAGUGGGGGAUAACGUCCGGAAACGGGCGCUAAUACCGCAUACGUCCUGAGGGAGAAAGUGGGGGAUCUUCGGACCUCACGCUAUCAGAUGAGCCUAGGUCGGAUUAGCUAGUUGGUGGGGUAAAGGCCUACCAAGGCGACGAUCCGUAACUGGUCUGAGAAGAUGAUCAGUCACACUGGAACUGAGACACGGUCCAGACUCCUACGGGAGGCAGCAGUGGGGAAUAUUGGACAAUGGGCGAAAGCCUGAUCCAGCCAUGCCGCGUGUGUGAAGAAGGUCUUCGGAUUGUAAAGCACUUUAAGUUGGGAGGAAGGGCAGUAAGUUAAUACCUUGCUGUUUUGACGUUACCAACAGAAUAAGCACCGGCUAACUUCGUG